UCCUGUGCAAUCCUUCUGCAACUGACACGACGAGGCUCUUAGGGUACCCGGCAUCGCUUAGCCUCGAGACCUGUUGCCUGAAGCUUUCAUCCAUGAGGUGCCCUGAUGGAUCCCUGUCCAGUUAAUGAUGGAUCCCUGUCCAGUUAAUGAUGGAUCCCUGUCCAGAUGACUCUUACAUUGGCCAGCAAAAGCAACACCAUGGAAGCAAUGAUGACAACACUUAUGUAAAAACACCUUAGAGCUUGUGACUUUAACAAACAACACUACUGGCUGUAAAGCCAUGCAACUUCUAUGGGCUCCUUUAAAUGUUUGCUUCGGUUUGGAAAUCAGUGCUUAGAAUUGGUCUUUGAAGCGUAUUUUGGCGAGAAGAGAAUGUUAAAUGUGCUUGGCAAUAUUCGGCAGAGAAAGCUUUGUGACAGAGAAUCACUGUAUUGCGGCUUUCUACAAACCUUAUUGUCGAUUCAAGGGUCACGACCCACUUGCAGGUCAUAGGACUUUGAAGAAGUGAUCAUAUUGAAAUUGUAAAACAUGAAAUUGGUUCACUGUAUUGAGAUGCUGCUCCUGUUGCUAUUGUCACAAGAUAAAUAGCUGUGAAAUUUGUUUGGUGUGUUAACAA